UGGGGAAUAUUGGACAAUGGGCGCAAGCCUGAUCCAGCCAUGCCGCGUGAGUGAUGAAGGCCCUAGGGUUGUAAAGCUCUUUCGCCAGGGGACGAUAAUGACGGUACCUGGAUAAGAAGCCCCGGCUAACUUCGUGCCAGCAGCCGCGGUAAUACGAAGGGGGCUAGCGUUGUUCGGAAUCACUGGGCGUAAAGCGCACGUAGGCGGAUCUUUAAGUCAGGGGUGAAUUCCCGAGGCUCAACCUCGGAACUGCCUUUGAUACUGGAGGUCUCGAGUCCGGGAGAGGUGAGUGGAACUGCGAGUGUAGAGGUGAAAUUCGUAGAUAUUCGCAAGAACACCAGUGGCGAAGGCGGCUCACUGGCCCGGUACUGACGCUGAGGUGCGAAAGCGUGGGGAGCAAAACAGGAUUAGAUACCCUGGUAGUCCACGCCGUAAAACUAUGGAUGCUAGCCGUUGGGCAGCUUGCUGAUCAGUGGCGCAGCUAACGCUUUAAGCAUCCCGCCUGGGGGAGUACGGUCGCAAGAUUAAAACUCAAAUGAAUUGACGGGGGUCAUAGCUGUUUCCU
rnacentral:rRNA from 1 species